rnacentral:rRNA from 1 species
UACGUAGGUGGCAAGCGUUGUCCGGAUUUACUGGGCGUAAAGAGCGCGCAGGCGGUCGUUCAAGUCGCGUGUGAAAGCCCCCGGCUCAACUGGGGAGGGUCACGCGAUACUGAUCGACUCGAAGGCAGGAGAGGGUAGUGGAAUUCCCGGUGUAGUGGUGAAAUGCGUAGAUAUCGGGAGGAACACCGGUGGCGAAGGCGGCAUCCUGGACCGACACUGACGCUGAGGAGCGAAAGCCAGGGGAGCAAACGGG